GAAAGUUGAAUCGUUACCGCCAAAGGCAAAAGUAGAGAGAGACGAGAGAGAGCCCCAACCCCAAUCAUCAUGAGCUUCUUCAAUCUUCUUCUUCCUCCUUAUUUUUCGCCAAAUCCAAUCUUCUAGGGUUUUCGAUUUCUCUCUUCUCUUCUCUUCUCUUCUUCAGCCAUGGAUAUGACUACUUGUGUUGCUAGGAGAACCCGUUCGAGGACUGAAUCUUACUUGAACUCGAUUCUGAAUAAAUCGAAGGGGAUUGCUGAGUCUGAGGGUACUUUAAAUUCGAGGAAGGGGAAUAAGAGAGGAGUGAGCUUGCGCGAUGCUUGUUCACCGUCUCCGAGGAAGAAGAAACGGCGGCUGAGGAAGGUGAGUGACGACGACGACGACGAUGUUGAAUUUGUCAGAACUGAUUAUCCAGAAGGUAAGCGAGAAGGUGUGGAUGGUGAUAAUGUUGGUUCUAAUUCUGUGGGUUUGGAAUCGAAAUCGCUUGAUUGUGGUGAUAGGGUUUGUGAUUUUGAUUUGGAUGAUGUUAAUUUGAGGGGUGAAGAGAAAACUUCUAAUUUUGAUUUGGAUGAUGAUGUUGUUUUUGUUGGGACUAUCCCUAGAGAGAAUGAGCAUGUAGAGGGUUACAAUGUUGGUUCUCCUAGGGUAUGUGUGGUUGAUAGUGAUUUGAGGGGUGAGGAGAAAGGUUCUACUUUGAAUCCUUUAUCUCCGGAUGGGGAUGUUGUUUUUAUUGGAACUAUCUCGGGAGAGAAGGAACAUGUCGAGGAUGGCAAUGUUGGUUCUAGGGUUUGUGAUAUUCUUCUGAAUGAUAUUAAGUUGAAGGGUUCUGAGUCUGAUGAUGUUGAAGGAGGUUCUGUGGAGGAAUUAGGGACGGAUUCAGGCGAGGAAUUUAGUGGUCAAGAUAGAGAUUCUGGUGAAAGUGAUACUGAUGGUGAAGAUGCUGAUUCUGACUCAUCUGAUUACGUGGUGGAAAGUUCAGUUUCUUCUUAUGUUGAUAGCUCUGAUGGUGAUUUCGUUUGUUCUGAGGAUGAAGAGGGUGAAACCACAGAUGUUGCUGCUAAAGAGAAAAAGAGCCCAAGUGAAAAAGUACGCUACCAUAAGAAGUCGAGGACUUCUCGUAGGGAGAAUAACUUGAAUGUAUUUCAGCUGCUAGCUAAAUCUAUUUGGGAUGGAAAGAAAGUUUUGGAGGAUGAGAUCUGCUCUGGGGACGAAACCGUGGACGUUGAUUGUAGACAAGAUGCUAUAGUAAGGGAGAGCUCAAGUGAAAAGGUAAAUGAAGAACAGGGGAAACCAAGGAGACCGAGGAGUUUGCAUAGGGUAAAGGAGAAGAACCACUCGAAGGGUGAGAGCUUUGUUGAUGGCGAAAAACUAUGUGAUGGACAAGAGAAAAUACACUGCUCGACAGAAGAUUCACCUCCUUUAAUCUUGAGAUUUGGCUGCGAGGAGCCGGUGCUUAUUGAGAAAACAGAUGAGGAGAAAGAAUUAGACAGUUUGUGGGAAGAUAUGGCCGUUGCUCUAACAUUAGAAGGAAUGGACUCAUCUACUCCUGCUAAAGUUGGUGAUAUGUUAUGUAGCAAAGAGAGGCACGACUUUGUGCUGGAGGAGGAAAUUGGUUUGAUAUGCCGCCACUGUUCUCAUGUGGCCGUCGAGAUCAAAGACAUCUCACCAGCUAUGGACAAGUAUCGUGCUAAUAUCAAUGACAAUAAGAAAUCUAGUGAGAAAAAGGGUGAACCUUUAUUUGAUAGGCUUGAGUUUGAUGCUUCAGAUCACAGCAGUUAUCCCGCCUCUUUGGAUAAUACAGAAGGAACCGUCUGGCAAUACGUCCCUGGCAUCAGAGAUACUUUGUACCCACACCAACAAGAAGGCUUUGAAUUUAUUUGGAAGAACUUAGCUGGGACAACAAAACUUGAUGAGUUUAACAGCGUAGGGGUUAAGGGAAGCGGUGGAUGCAUUAUUUCUCAUAAGGCUGGAACUGGUAAGACACGCUUGACCAUCGUUUUUCUUCAGUCGUAUUUAGAACGGUUUCCAGAUAGCCAUCCUGUGGUCAUAGCUCCUGCAACUCUAAUGCGUACGUGGGAAGAAGAAUGCAGGAAAUGGAACGCAGAUAUUCCAUUUUUUAACAUGAAUAGUCGGCAGUUCUCAGGGUAUGAGGACGCUUCAGCUGUCUCACGUUUAAAUGGAAAUAGGCAACAUAAUUCCGUCCGUAUGGUUAAGUUAUAUUCGUGGUGGAAUAAGAAAAGCAUUCUUGGAGUUAGCUACCCUCUGUAUGAGAAGCUCGCGGCAGAUAAGAACGCUGGAGAAAUGCAAGUGUUUAGGAGGAUGUUGCUAGAAUUGCCGGGGUUGCUGGUCCUUGACGAGGGGCACACCCCGAGAAACCAGAAUAGUCUCAUUUGGAAAGUGCUUACUGAAGUCAGAACAGAAAAGCGUAUCAUUCUUUCAGGGACACUGUUCCAGAAUAAUUUCAAGGAACUUUCAAAUGUCUUAUGCCUGGCAAGACCAGCUUUGAAAGAUACGAUUUCUUCGAGGUUACAGGAACUUAGCAAGCGGAGCCAAGAAGGCGAACAUGGAAGGGUGAAUGAAGAAAUUGGAAUUGUGGAUCUUAAGGUUAUGAUUGCUCCUUUUGUGCAUGUCCACGAAGGAACCAUCCUUGAAGAAAGCCUUCCAGGUCUAAAAGACUGUGUUGUGGUGUUGAACCCGCCUUUUCAACAGAAGAAAAUUCUGGACAGAAUUGAUACUUCUCAAAACACAUUUGAAUUUGAGCACAAGCUUUCAGCUGUUUCAGUACACCCAUCUCUGUAUUUGUGCUGCAAUCCGACAAAGAAGGAAGACUUGGUUAUUGGGCCAGCAACAUUAGGAACUCUGAAGAGGCUUAGACUUGACUACAAGGAAGGUGUGAAAACAAAGUUCCUUAUCAACUUCAUCCGCAUCACUGAAAAAGUGAAAGAGAAAGUGUUGGUGUAUAGCCAAUACAUUGACACUCUAAAGCUGAUCAUGGAUCAGCUCAGUGCAGAAUUUAGCUGGACUGAAGGGGAAGAAAUUCUCUUAAUGCAUGGUAAAGUUGAACAAAGAGAGAGGCAGCAACUGAUCAACAACUUCAACAAACAAGACAGUAAAUCUAAAGUUCUACUGGCAUCAACAAAAGCAUGUUCUGAGGGUAUUAGUCUUGUUGGCGCUUCAAGAGUUGUGUUUCUUGAUGUUGUUUGGAACCCUUCUGUUGAAAGCCAAGCCAUAAGUCGAGCUUACAGAAUUGGUCAAAAGCGGGCUGUGUUCGUUUACCAUCUCAUGGUUAAAGAUACAUCUGAGUGGGACAAGUACUGUAAGCAAAGUGAGAAAUAUCGCAUAUCUGAACUGGUCUUCUCUUCUACCAAUGAGAAGGAUAAGCCGAUUAACAACGAAGCUGUUUCUGAAGAUAGAAUCCUCGACGAGAUGGUUCGACUCAAUAAGCUGAAAGACAUCUUUGAGAAGAUACUUUAUAAUCCAAAGGAGUCUGACAUGUUUACCAGCAUCUUCUGAUUGAUAUAUCAUUUUCUCUCUGUUAAUCCAACUCUGAGAUUCUAGGCGUUUAUAUCAAUUAUGUUCCCAGCUUUGGAACAGAUCACUCUAGCAAUAUGAAGUAAAAUUUGAGAGAUUUACAAUAACAGAACCAACAGGUACUUACUACAAGAUGGGAAGGACCAACAUAACUAAAACCGUGGCUGCGAC